rnacentral:rRNA from 1 species
GGCGUCCUACGGGGCGCAGCAGUAGGGAAUCUUCCACAAUGGGCGAAAGCCUGAUGGAGCAACGCCGCGUGGGUGGAGAAGGUCUUCGGAUCGUAAAACCCUGUUGUUAGAGAAGAAAGUGCGUGAGAGUAACUGUUCACGUUUCGACGGUAUCUAACCAGAAAGCCACGGCUAACUACGUGCCAGCAGCCGCGGUAAUACGUAGGUGGCAAGCGUUAUCCGGAUUUAUUGGGCGCAAAGGGAACGCAGGCGGUCUUUUAAGUCUGAUGUGAAAGCCUUCGGCUUAAACGG